GGAGUCCCAGACUUAAAUAGCCUUCGAACGUUCGUUUUAAUAAAUUAUUGGAAUUAUGGUGACGUCGGUACCACCACUAACGUUAUUCAGAAAGUUUGUGGCUGUCAACGCCAAAACAAACAGUUUUGUGUAUACUAUAAUUUUGAGUGCUAGCUGUCUGUUCUGCGUGUUUUGUUUGUGAAAUGGAGAAAUGUGCUGGAAAAAAACAAUCGAUUUUAGACGAUUAGACCAGCAGCAACGCUAGUCAGUCUGCAGGGGGAGCUGAAGGGAUGUUUAAAAUUAAAAGCAGGCCUCUGAACUGAACUGAAGACAGACAAAACUGAAGAAAUUUACUUCCCGAGAUCAUCUUUAAUGAACAAACACAAAACUUGUCCAUGCAUCAACUUUUUUAUUACUUGUGGAGGAGGACUGGACAUGUUGACUGGAUUGAUUCAGUGGAGGAUGAAGGCCUCUGACGAAUGGACCCCAAGAGUCUUCAUUGUUCUGUAGUGUUACUUUCCUGAACACAGCCAUAUAUACACUCCACUCUGUACUCCUCCAUAUAUCCAGACGCAGCGUUUAAGCAUCUCAAGAAAUUGGGGCUGUUCUCCGAGCUUGAGGUUUGAGCUUCCUGGCACUUGGAAUCAUAAAUUGUAAAAGGCUCUGCAUUCCACCAUCUUCAUAUGUCUAGUCUUUCCUCUAUUGACAAGCUGCCAAACAUGGC
ensembl:processed_transcript